GACGAAGGGGGCAAGCGUUGUCCGGAUUUAUUGGGCGUAAAGAGCGUGUAGGCGGCUAGGUAGGUCCGUUGUGAAAACUCGAGGCUCAACCUCGAGACGCCGAUGGAAACCAUCUGGCUAGAGUCCGGAAGAGGAGAGUGGAAUUCCUGGUGUAGCGGUGAAAUGCGCAGAUAUCAGGAAGAACACCCGUGGCGAAGGCGGCUCUCUGGGACGGUACUGACGCUGAGACGCGAAAGCGUGGGGAGCGAACAGG
rnacentral:rRNA from 1 species